AUUGAACGCUGGCGGCAUGCCUAACACAUGCAAGUCGAACGGUAACGCGGGGCAACCUGGCGACGAGUGGCGGACGGGUGAGGAAUACAUAGGAAUCUGCCUGUUAGUGGGGGAUAGCCCGGGGAAACCCGGAUUAAUACCGCAUGAGCCCUACGGGGGAAAGAGGGGGAUCGCAAGACCUCUCGCUGACAGAUGAGCCUAUGUCCGAUUAGCUAGUUGGCGGGGUAAAGGCCCACCAAGGCGACGAUCGGCAACUGGUCUGAGAGGACGACCAGUCACACUGGGACUGAGACACGGCCCAGACUCCUACGGGAGGCAGCAGUGGGGAAUAUUGGACAAUGGGGGCAACCCUGAUCCAGCAAUGCCGCGUGUGUGAAGAAGGCCUGCGGGUUGUAAAGCACUUUCGGUGGGGAAGAACGCGCUUACGAUUAAUACUCGUGAGCAGUGACGGUAUCCAAAGAAGAAGCACCGGCUAACUCUGUGCCAGCAGCCGCGGUAAU
rnacentral:rRNA from 1 species